rnacentral:rRNA from 1 species
UGGCGGCAUGCCUUACACAUGCAAGUCGAACGGCAGCACGGGAGCAAUCCUGGUGGGCGAGUGGCGAACGGGUGAGUAAUAUAUCGGAACGUGCCCGGUCGUGGGGGAUAACGUAGCGAAAGCUACGCUAAUACCGCAUACGAUCUACGGAUGAAAGCGGGGGAUCGCAAGACCUCGCGCGAUUGGAGCGGCCGAUAUCAGAUUAGGUAGUUGGUGAGGUAAAGGCCCACCAAGCCGACGAUCUGUAGCUGGUCUGAGAGGACGACCAGCCACACUGGGACUGAGACACGGCCCAGACUCCUACGGGAGGCAGCAGUGGGGAAUUUUGGACAAUGGGCGCAAGCCUGAUCCAGCAAUGCCGCGUGCAGGAUGAAGGCCUUCGGGUUGUAAACUGCUUUUGUACGGAACGAAACGGUGAGCUCUAAUACAGUUUGCUAAUGACGGUACCGUAAGAAUAAGCACCGGCUAACUACGUG